rnacentral:rRNA from 1 species
UUCUUGGGUGACGAGCGGCGGACGGGUGAGUAAUGCAUAGGAAUCUGCCCGAUAGUGGGGGAUAACCUGGGGAAACCCAGGCUAAUACCGCAUACGUCCUACGGGAGAAAGGGGGCUCCGGCUCCCGCUAUGGGAUGAGCCUAUGUCGGAUUAGCUAGUUGGUGAGGUAACGGCUCACCAAGGCAACGAUCCGUAGCUGGUCUGAGAGGAUGAUCAGCCACAUCGGGACUGAGACACGGCCCGAACUCCUACGGGAGGCAGCAGUGGGGAAUAUUGGACAAUGGGCGCAAGCCUGAUCCAGCCAUGCCGCGUGUGUGAAGAAGGCCCUCGGGUUGUAAAGCACUUUCAGCGAGGAAGAACGCCUAGCGGUUAAUACCCGCUAGGAAAGACAUCACUCGCAGAAGAAGCACCGGCUAACUCCGUGCCAGCAGCCGCGGUAAUACGGAGGGUGCAAGCGUUAAUCGGAAUUACUGGGCGUAAAGCGCGCGUAGGUGGCUUGAUAAGCCGGUUGUGAAAGCCCCGGGCUCAACCUGGGAACGGCAUCCGGAACUGUCAAGCUAGAGUGCAGGAGAGGAAGGUAGAAUUCCCGGUGUAGCGGUG